UCGCUCCUACUGAUUGAGUGAUCCGGUGAAUAAUUUGGACUGCAACACUGCUCGCUCCAGAGUGCUGCUGCAUAAAGUUUGGUGAACCUUAUCACUUAGAGGAAGGAG
rnacentral:rRNA from 1 species